UCUCAAUCAGUGAAAAUUCCACUCGGUGUUUUAUUAAUUUUCUUUGCAAUCUAAUUAGCCGAAUAAUUAAACAAAAAAAAAUGAUUUGCACAAGAUUGACUCACAAAAUUUUGACUGAAUUUACAUUUGAAAGUGAAUUAUAUUUGCCUCAGUUAGGCUUCUCAAUAAUACUUCUCUCCCAUUCGAAGACAUUAGUAUUUCCUAUAACUUGACAUGACAAAACUUCUGAAUCUAAUGGUUUCUUUCCAUGAACAUUUGACAUUAUCACCAUCAGAGAUUGACAAGCAUUAUGCUCAUCCAUCUUCUCUAUAUCAGUCAUUUCUAAUGAACGAUCCCUCCAAGGUUGGUAGAAUGACCAUCUCCAUUCAGGAUUGGCUUCAGUGGGGCAACGAACUUUUGACAACAGUGAUACCAUAGCAGUUCCAUUAUCAUGCAUGAAAUCUGAAUGUUUGAAAGGACCACAAAGACAUAGUGCAGAAACAACUGAAGAAAGCACUCUGCUAUUUGAACCAAUAAGCUGUUGAAGGAAAAUUAUUGUCGCAGCUAAUACCUCUUCACAGUCAAAUUUACAGUUGUUCCUUCCUCCGUGUGCCAUUUCUACAUAUUCCAGAAAGGACUGCAACGAUUUUGAGCUUGAUUUUUCUGAAUAUUUGGAAUUUACAUCAUUAAGCUUCCAAUAAAGCUUCCCAAGAAUGACAGCAGCAACAAGCCAACGUAAGAGUUUUGAGAUCAAAGUCUCAUCGGAUGGUGUUGCCUCUGAGAUGAUUAUCAGACUGACUUUAUGGUGAAAUAUUUUCAGCGAAUCAGACUUCAAGGCAGUAGAAAGUGCCCACAUAAGGAAACCUGAAAGCUUUUCCUUAUUCAUGUAAAAAAUGUCAACUGGAGGUGUGCUCAUAAGUAUGGUUUGAAGCCCAAACUCUGCAUUUGAACUAGAUCUUGAAGUAUCACAUGCAUCUAGAGUCUGAUAUAUUCGAAAUAAACCCUCCAUCGAUAAAGUAAAAUGAGGUUGAUAAAUCUUCCUUUUCUGCGAUAUCUUCAAUGUUAACGUCAUUAUCUGUAGAAUUGAAUCAAUCAAUGAAACAUUUUCCUUUAUCAACUCCAAGCCACCAACUAGGAGUUUGUACAGAUUAGAUGAAAGUUCCAUUAGCUGCUCAAGAGCACAGUCUUGCAACCACUGGUUGAUGUCUCUGAAUGAAAUAAUAUCAGAUGCAACCUUUACGGCCACAACCAACUGCAGUGUAGAAAAACUGUUCUUUUCAUCUAACCGCCCACUGGAGAUCGAGAUUAUAUAUGAUAACCAUGGAAACAGGCCACAGUCUUCAACUAGAUGAUAAGUCAUUCUAUGCAGUUUGACUGACUUCUUCACUACCUGAAGUAUCAGUUCCUUUGACUCAUUAUCUGCAAGAGGUGUAGCAUAAAAACUCAGUAGGGUCUCAAGAAUGGAAUUAUUGAUAAAUAUUUCAGCAUCAUCAUUUAAAUUCAGUCCAGCACAUGCAAGACGAAGAAUCCACAGCCUCUCUGCUCUGAAGUUAACAGAAUUACUCUGGAACAAAGUAUGAAACAAUGGUAUGCACUUCAUGUUCACCUUGGAAGAAUGCAUCAAAUGCUUACUUAAGGUUGUAUAAUGAUCAUUUGAAGGAUCCAACAGUAUCAAAGAAGACUCUGCAGCAAAAAGUGCUAGGAUGGAAGGAAUUUUCUGCCAUGGCUCUUUGAUUCCAUUUUGCAUGUAUGUCAACAGAAGACGAAGCCGCAUUAUAUCCUUUUUCUUUUGGCAUCCCUCUAAUGCAUUCUUAUACCUCCCAAGAGAUUCAUAACCCAACUUUCUCAUCCCAACAUCAGGUGAAGAAAUGCUCACAAAUGCAACAGCAAGCAAGCCCAAACCAGCAAAUUCCACAGGUUCAAUAUAACCCAUGGACAGAAUAUGAAUUGAGAAACGCAGGAUGAAAAUAGGAUCAUAUCGUUGUAUUUUGUCAACAGGAGGAGAAUAUUUCACAUGCAUAGUCUUCAGAUUCUCUGGUUCAAACCUACUUAACAAUAAUCCCCCAUCACUUGCAAUUCUGUCAUAGGGAAAAUGAAGAACUGUUGCCAAACACUUCUUGGGAUCAAUAGGAAGGAUUUCCCUAAAUUGACUUCUUCUAUGUUCUUCAAAUGCUUCUGUAUCAGUCAUAAUAUUGGAAGAUAGAUCCUGGUCCAAAGCUCGUUCAUUUCUUAUUUUCAAAGCAGCACUUCCCCACAGGUAAUCCAUUUCAGAAAGAUCUUCAGAGACUGACUUAUCGAUAGAUUCAAUCUCUUGCAUUAGAUUGUAUAUCUCCAAGUCAAUUUCACUCAGAGUUGCACCGUAAGAAGACAAAAGCAAUAAAUGCAGUUCUUUAAGAUUUAUUCCACUUUCUUUUCCAGAAGAACCACCAGACAACUCAGGCUUCAACUGAAUGAGUGUCCUAAGUAACUUAACAAUUUCCAACUGCUUCAAAUGAGGCUUAGUUGUUUGCAGAUCAUUCUUGCUGUUUGGAUGGGUGAUGUCAAGUGAUCUCAGAAUGCUGGGCAUAGGCUUAAAAAGAGCACCACUCUGAGAACUAUGAGAUUCUGUAAAAGAGCAAAUGGUAGACUCAAACUGAGAAUGGGCAAGAAGCAGCCGAAUAUACAGAGCAGAUGAAAAUUUUCCCUCUGACAGCAAAGUUAGGAUACUACGAAGAACAUCCAAUGUUGUGGGAUCCUCAAACCUAAAGAGAAGAGAUGAUCUCAUCAAUUGUUCAAGAAAAGGAAUGGCUUGCAAAUGGACAAGAUCACCACGCAUCUCUGUGGUUAAUUCAAGAACGGUUCUCAAAAUGAACAAUUCCAAGUAUCUGAACAACUGUAAACAACCGGAGCUCUUUUCUCCUCUGGAACCAUUGGAGACUGACGGGAAUUUCUUAACCAAACAUCGCCAAGUACUGACCAAAAUCUUUAUAAACAGCAUUCUUGAUUGACCCUCUUUAUCAGACAACAUGUCCAAUGAGAUCGAUUUUGAGUUCCCAUCUGCUUCUUUUGGAGACAGUAUGUGAUUAUCGACUGGAAAUAACAUCAUUCGGCACAAUGAAAUUUUUGCAACAACCCUGUUGAUAAGGUUUAGUGACUGGCUGAGUGAAUAAAAUUCCGUUUCAUCAACAUCACAGUCUAGCAGCUGAUCAUGUGCAUCAGAACAGGUGAGAAUGGAACUGAACAUCUUCAAUCUCUCCUUCAUUUUCAUGCCUCCACUGAAGGCAAAGUGGCAUUGUAACAUCUUAAUUGCCUUUCCAAGAAGGCUAGCAUCCACCAGAUUGACAAGUUCUUCAAUAGAUGAGGGGAGGAACUCAUCAUAAUUUUCCUGAAAUACAUAUCCAGAUACAAAGCUCUUCCAAUUAUGGAAGCCGCUUAAUAGUAUUUUUGAAUAAAAUGAAGGUAUGCUAGUAAACUGCUUGUAGAACUGCUUUUCAAAUUUCAUGAAAACUGUAGUCAAGUAUGAAAAUGCGGACGGCAACAGCAACAUGAAGUCCUCAUCUGAAAGCGAUGUUUCACAGGCCUCUUCCACCUUGUUGCCCUUAAGAUGGACUUUUUCAUUCAAAAUUUCUAAGAAUAAGUACCCAAAGACUGACAGAUGCAGGGGGCUUAUGUCAACAAGAAGAAACAACAACUUAGCUUUUGUCUUGCUUGCGCCAUAAAUGCAGUGAGAAAGAAUUUCUACAGGAGUGCUAAUAAUAACCCUUGAUAACACCAAGCUUAAGGCAUCGAGUAAAUCACACUGCAUGUACUUCUGCCUGUAGACAGCACUGACAGCUUCCAGCAAACAACUAUAUGCAAAAUCCACUUUCAAAUUGGUGGCAAACUUGCAUAUUUUAAAAUAGAUUUCCUCAAUAAGGUUAAUAUCCAAUAUCUUUUUUUCCAUUUCCCACAAGGUAUAAAACAGUGCUCUUGCUGUUACAGGCCGCUGCAAAUAAAUAGAUAACAUUUUGAAAGCAUCACCAGCAAUACAAAAUGCAAUAGAAAAAGCAAAUGUCAUACAGGAUUUCUGAUUAGUCAAACCAUUCAAUUCAAAUCUAUCAAAUAUCCAAAGCACUAAAUCAAAAAGUUCAAACGGAGAAGUAAACUGCAUUAAAGCAUGCAAAGCAUAAAAUGGAAGGAGAAGGGGCAAAUAAUCUUCAGUCCUAAUGCACAGGUCAAACUUGUCCUUCAGUUUCAGAUAUAUCUUCUGUAUCGGGAUUUUGAAAGCCUUCACAAGUUGCUUGCUCACACCAUCUUCAACUUUGAGUAGACAAUGUUUCCCAGUAAAAGAAGAUAAUAAGUAGUCAAAAGUUGUUGUCAACAUAUCCAAGACAUGAUGAUCUAUUGGAUGAAUUCUCUGCUGAGAAAAACUAAGAAAAGCCUGUAAAUUGUCCCUAGAGUUUCCUUCUGAAAAAUCAUCGUUAGCCAAAUUCUGAUCACAGCUCAAAGGAUAUGUCAAAGAUGCUUUCACGGCAGGAUGACAAAAGAUGAUUUCAGCCACUUCUUGUAUCAUUUUGGCCAAAGGAGGAUCCUCUGAAUCAGGCUUAAAAGCCGAUAGUUGAGCAAGCAUGUGCUUCAAAAGAACAUAGCAUAUCUCAGCAAAUUCUCUCAAUAUCGGCAAUGGUUUUAUUCUAUAUGACAAUUGUAUCUGAUAAAACCAAAAUAGAAGAAGGCGCAAGUAGGAAACUACAAAUUCACUUGUGCACUCAGAUAGUUUAGCCAUAAGUACAUCUUUUAUCUUUGAAGACUCUGAUAAACAAGGACCAUCACUGCUUAUUAUUGCAGGAAAAAGCACAUGAAAAGGUGCCUGCCUCAGAAAGAGACCAAAUGCAACAGCAGCUGCAAAUUCACUGGCAUCAAAAUCCACAUCAAGUAUUGUUUCUUGAGCAAAAACAUCAUCGUUUACACCUUGAGGAUCAAUCAUAGAAACAGCCUUUUCUAGACCAGGAAAGAACACUUGCGGCCAUAACUUCAAAACACCAGCAAGAAAAUUUUGCUUGUGAAAAAAUACUGAGGAUAAGAAUGGCAGAGGAAUAUGAAGAUGCUGAGAAAUAGUCAUAACUGUAGGAAAGUUCAUUAGUAGCCCAUCUGAAGUUGUACACAUAAUUGCAGAAAAAAAGUCUUUCAUUAUUACAGCUAUUUCCCCACUAUGCCCACUUUCUAAGAUUUUUCUUACUUCACCAAGUGCUCUCACAAAAGAACUAUCAACAGGCACAUCUUUUUCAUCAAUGAGAAAAAAACAGAAGGCCUUUUGAUGCAAUAUACUCUCUGAAAAGAGCAAUAAAUUUUUCAAUGGCUGCCACUCCACAGAACAUUGAUCCUGAAGUCCCUCAGACAAAACUGAUCUAAUCAAAGCAGCUAACAACCUUGCAUCUACCUGAGUUUGCAAUAGAUAUUUCAAUGUAUUGCACACAUACACAGAUAUCAUUGACUUCUCCAGCAAUGAAAAGGUUCCAGAUUCAGAACUGAGUAACCUCAUACACUUCUGUAAGACACAUAUGACGAGAGGACUGAAUUCAGGCGAAACAUCUUUAAAUUCAUUUAAAUGGUAAGUAUGGUUCCUAACUGCAUCCCAGUAUCUAAAUAAAUUAUUCCCAAUGGUAGAAAUGGCAUCACAUAAAAAUGAGAUGGCAGCUGUUGACAAGUUCUGCAGCACUUCUGUUCCAAUGAUCUCAACAGAUAAUUUAACUACACUGUAACCCGGUAAAAAUAAGAUCCAUGCAACUAUUUCAUUUAAGUUUCUGUCAAAUGCACCAGUACUUGACAUGGCUGCCUGUGUCAACUUGUAUGCUUGAGCCUUUAUGCCACCACUUGGUGAAAAGAUUAGCAAAUUAAGAAAUGGCUGCAGAUGCUUAUACAUCAGUGGUGGAGUUCUGACGGUAAUUUCACUCCCUGGAGACCAUCUAAUGUACUCAACUAGAAGAGGCAACAGGGAGUAAAGGAUAUUAAAUGGCAAUUCUGAAGGAUUGUUGUGAAGAUUCAUAAAAAAAUCAAAUGAUCCCUCCAAAGCAGUGGGCAUUAUCAGAAGAUAUAUUUUUAGAGCAUCAAGAAGCUUAGACUGGAAGAAUAUCUCUGCAUCCUUUAAUGUAGUGUCAGGCACAGAACAUAAGUCAGAACCCCACAAUUCUGAUAUAACAUUCAUAAAAUCCAUUGUACCAUCCGAUGCAUGUGGUAUUUGUGAUUCCACAACAUUUUCAUCAUCCUCAGCCAAUGCAAUGUCCGGAAGUGAAUUUAUCCCACCUAUAAUAAUAUCAGUAUCCUCAAUUGUAGCUUUUCUUUUCAAUUUCUUUCUUCUCUUGCAACAAAGAAGAGAAAUUUCUUUAUCUGCUGUUCUUUUCAAGCAUGACUUGUCAGACCUGGCAAGGCUACUUAAAGGAGAAAGUAGAGAGAGCAAAACUUGUGGAUCAGGAAGCAGAGUUCGAAUUUCAUUCCAGAUUUCCUGCUUAAGAACUGCCCACUUUCGUAUCCUUUGUUUCCUAGUACAAGACAGGCUUGUAGCCCUUAAGAAUGAAUCCAACAACUUCAGAGCCUCCAAAAGAAGUCUUAAAGUUCCAUUCUUCACAAGAAAAUCUGAGUGAAGUAAUCCCUUAUUUAUUACCGAUCGGCUCAAUGGACGAGAAGAAAUAAUAGUCAUGAUAUUCUGCACAUGCACACUAUUACAACAAGGUGGAUCAUUAGACUGAAAAUCAAUGAAACCAAAAGGAUUGCCAACAGCCAUUGAGGAAACCAAAUUUGCUGCCAGAGAAACAGAAGAAAACCAGCUAGGAGAUGCAUAAUCUUCAAGGUUGUAGGGGAACUCCUCCAUAUAUGCUGAGCCAAAGGACAGACUGCCCCUAACAAUAGCUAAAAGCAAGUCUCUGUGAUUGUCGAUCUCUGUUGCCUUUAGCUUCUUCAUGAGCUCCAAAAGUCUCUUUGGAUUACCCCUUAAUGGAGUUGGGCGUCUCUUGAAAUCCGGCAUCAAUCCAUUGCAAGGAUCAGUACAAACCAUAAGUAGCACAUUGUGUGCCAACUCUGCAGAGGGUCCAUUUCGCAUUCCUGAAAUGCCAACUAACUGUUCCAAAACAACACUCCCAAAGAGAACGCUUCUAAGAGCUGGGGAAACCAAUGACUGUUCAGUGAGAAUCUUAUCCCGCAAUGUGGACAACACAAAAAUAACAGUCUCAUUGUCAUCAUUCUCAAGCCCACGAAGAACACCAGAGAACAUUUCUCUCUGCUGUAGGAUCCACCUCAGUAAUCCUGGCUUCCCCACCUCCAAAAACGACAUUGCAAAUCCAACAAAAGCCCUUCUAGUGGAGUGCUUCCUUUUCUUGUUAUUCUGCCUGCGUUUAUACUCUGCAAGUUUGGAGAAUGCCUGAAGUUUGAAAUCAAACUUCUUAGCAACCUCAGAAGCCAAACCUGACCCACGCCUAACAAUUGAAGCCAUUAGCAAAAGAGCUGCAUUUUGGCACUUUCCUUCUUUACUAUUCAACUCCUUAUAAACAACUUCAAACUUUUCCUCAAUAAAAGAUCGAGCAAACUUAUCAAGAAACACACGUAUAGCAAUUCUCUCUUUAUCAUUUGGCUUGUAUUUUCCAUCAGGAUGACUAAGAAUCACAGAUAUUAAUGAUAAAAUAUAAGACAUUCCAGGUUUCCCCUCUCGAAGCUUCAAAGCUCCCACAAGUUCUGAGAAAUUUGAAGUUGACUGUACAUAUAGUCGGAGCAAUUCACCACCAGAAUUACCUUUGAGCAGCUUAACAAACUCCUUUGUAGCAUCGGAACAUAACUUAAUCUCAAAUGAAUUGAUCUUAUGUAAGAGUUCCCUAAGUUUAGCUUCAUAGGUCGCUUUAAAAACUAGAUUUGUAGCUUCCCUCCCCUCCACUUCAUUAUCCUCCUCUUCCUUCAAAACUAGGUCGUCGUCGGAGGCUGAAGUCUGGUCAUCCAUCUCCAUUGAAGAGAAC
rnacentral:misc_RNA from 1 species